UCCUCUCUCUCUCUCAAUCUUGUCUCUGCAGGCCGCCGGCGGGUGGGGAGGAGGCCGGCGGGGAGCUCCUCCUGCGUGAUCGCGAGCUCCGCGGUCGGACACGUCGCCGAGGUCGCCGCGUACCGCCUCAUCUUCUCAACUCGCACCACUCGUUCUACGACGGGCUCUACGUCGGCGGCGUCGCCGACGCCCGCAUCCGCCCGGCGCUCCGCACGUUGAAGCAGAACAUGUCGCUGCUCCUCUCCGUGCUCAUCGACCGCGUGCAGCCGGUGGCGGUGCAGGAGGCGAGCGAAGCAGCCAGGCGGAGUGGGGGGCGCCGUCGCCGAUCAGCAGCCGCUCGUCGCCGGAGUAGGCGACGGCAAAGGAGCAGCUCAACGGGAGCUACUGGAGCACAACGGGCUGCUGGGUGGCGAGGAGGGCGACCGGAGCGGGUCGCGGGCAGGCAACCGGUGGCCACGGCAGGAGACGCUGGCGCUGCUCAAGAUCCGGUCGGAGAUGGACGUCGCCUUUCGGGAAGCCGUCCUCAAGGGCCCCCUCUAGGAGGAAGUCUCCAGGAAGCUCGCGGAGAUGGGGGUACAAGAGGAGCACCAAGGACGGCCGCGCCGGCCACGGCGACGGCAAGACCUAGCGCUUCUUCACCGAGCUCGAGGCCCUCCACGGCGCCGCCGCCUCCGCGCGCCCCCCGCCGCCGGUGUCCCUCGCGCCGGCGCCUGUGGCCAUGGCGCCCGUUGGCCACCCCUGCGGGUCUCUCGGCGUUGCGCAUCCGCCACUCCGCCUCGCCGUCGCCGGUCGCCCCACUCCGCCCAUCGCCGCCCCGCUCCAUCCCGCCGGCUUCGUGACGCGGAUAAUACAGAGAAGAGAGGGGGUGAGAGAGGAGGGGAAAGAGGAAGAAAGGUGGAUAGGAGAGGAGAAGAAGAGGCUGACGUGUGGGUCCCACGCUGAGUUAGCUGUCAUGUCGGAGAAAACCGGGUCGGAGAAAACCAGAGUCAAAACCGCUAGGGGACCUAGUGUGACAUCCCGGCCCAGGGCUUAAUAGUAUUAAUAAAAUACUCAUGUCAACAAGUUGCAACUUCUUUUCUGGAAGCCGAUUUCAAAAGAACUCUAGGGUUAAGCGUGCUUGGCCUGGAGCAAUUUGGGAUGAGUGACCGACCGAGGAAUUCUUUCCGGGUGUACACGAGUGAGGACAAAGUGUGCAGAAAAGGCAUGUGUUGGCCUGUGAGGGCAGUCUAUUACCUAUAAAAGCUACCAGAUGUAAGCGGGCCUGACUUGGGAGAGGCAAGACGUUACAUAGCGCAUGGCUGGUGUGGACCGGGAGUGGUGCACUGGACACGUUGCAACUUCUUUUCCGGAAGCCGAUUUUCAAAGAACUCCAGGGUUAAGCGUGCUUGGCCUGGAGCAAUAUAAGCGGGCCCUGCCUCAAUGUGCACUGGUUUUGUAAGUUGGGGGAUGCGUUGUAUCUGGUUUUGUGGUUGAAGGAUGAUUUGUAACCCGAUGACAA